rnacentral:rRNA from 1 species
AACGAACGCUGGCGGCAGGCCUAACACAUGCAAGUCGAGCGAGGACUUCGGUCCUAGCGGCGGACGGGUGAGUAACGCGUGGGAACGUGCCCUUUGCUUCGGAAUAGCCCUGGGAAACUGGGAGUAAUACCGGAUGAGCCCUUGGGGGGAAAGAUUUAUCGGCGAAGGAUCGGCCCGCGUUGGAUUAGGUAGUUGGUGGGGUAAUGGCCUACCAAGCCGACGAUCCAUAGCUGGUUUGAGAGGAUGAUCAGCCACACUGGGACUGAGACACGGCCCAGACUCCUACGGGAGGCAGCAGUGGGGAAUCUUAGACAAUGGGGGAAACCCUGAUCUAGCCAUGCCGCGUGAGCGAUGAAGGCCUUAGGGUUGUAAAGCUCUUUCAGCUGGGAAGAUAAUGACGGUACCAGCAGAAGAAGCCCCGGCUAACUCCGUG